rnacentral:rRNA from 1 species
CCUCUAGCCGUCUCCAUCCGCCCUUUUCUUGUAGAUCGCCGGCGACAUCCAGGGCGCACGGCCACCUUCCAGCAACCACCGUGACCAGAUCCGGCGACUUCGGCCUCCUCCUUCCUGCAACAGGCCGAGGUUGAAAAGGAGGCCGGCGAGCUCGAGCCACCGCCCCACGGCUCCCCCGCGCGAAUGGAUCCAGGACUACUAGGUGGCCAAAUCCGGCAGGCGGCAUCACCGGUAAGGCACUCGAUGGCACGCCCCUGCCAUGGAGAACCACCACUGCCCGAAGAGCAAAACGAGCGUGCGCAAAGCUCCCCGUGGGCUGCUCUGUACGAUGGCUCCACCGUGCAGUCCGCACGCGGCCCCUUGUCCGCCUGCCCACCUCGCAAUGGCAGUUGCCGGUCGCUGCACCUUCACGCGGAGGCGGCCAAGGACGCAAAAGUGGAGAAGCGGCGACGAGAUCUCAUUUUCUAGCCCCCCGACAAGCUACCCCUCCUCCCCUUGAAGUCAAACCGCACCGACCUUGCAGUGCGCCGGCGCGCGCGAUGUGGUUCACGCGUUGCCUUGCUGUUGCCCCUCAUCUGUGCGUUUCUUGUUGUUCUUCUGAAGAGAUAUAAAUAUGCAAAUGCAGUCAACUGUUGUUUUGCUAAGGGGAGCCUUGGCGCAGUGGUAAAGCUGCUGCCUUGUGACCAUGAGGUCAUGGGUUCAAGUCCUGGAAACAGCCUCUUACAAAAAUGUAGGGAAAGGCUGCGUACUAUAGACCCAAAGUGGUCGGACCCUUCUCUGGACCCUGCGCAAGCGAGAGCUA